UACGAAGGGUGCAAGCGUUACUCGAGAUUACUGGGCGUAAAGCGUGCGUAGGUGGUGAGUUAAGUCUGUCGUGAAAGCCCCGGGCUCAACCUGGGAAUGGCGAUGGAUACUGGCUCGCUAGAGUGCGGUAGAGGAGAGUGGAAUUCCCGGUGUAGCAGUGAAAUGCGUAGAGAUCGGGAGGAACAUCAGUUGCGAAGGCGGCUCUCUGGACCAGCACUGACACUGAGGCACGAAAGCGUGGGGAGCAAACAGG
rnacentral:rRNA from 1 species